rnacentral:rRNA from 1 species
GACGAACGCUGGCGGCGUGCUUAACACAUGCAAGUCGAACGGAGUGGCGAACGGGUGAGUAACACGUGGGUGAUCUGCCUUGCACUUCGGGAUAAGCUUGGGAAACUGGGUAUAAUACUGGAUAGUUCAAGAUGAGCUCGCGGCCUAUCAGCUUGUUGGUGGGGUAAUGGCCUACCAAGGCGUCGACGGGUAGCCGGCCUGAGAGGGGGUACGGCCACAUUGGGACGGGGAUACGGCCCAGACUCCUACGUGAGGCAGCAGUGGGGAAUAUUGCACAAUGGGCGGAAGCCUGAUGCAGCGAAGCCGGGUGGGGGAGGAAGGCCUUCGGGUUGUAAACUCCUUUCGACAGGGACGCGGUACCUGUAUAAGAAGCACCGGCUAACUACGUGCCAGCAGCCGCGGUAAUAC